rnacentral:rRNA from 1 species
GACGAACGCUGGCGGCGUGCCUAACACAUGCAAGUCGAACGGGGUUGCGAGAGCUUGCUCUUGCAACUUAGUGGCGAACGGGUGAGUAACGCGUGAGGAACCUGCCUUUCAGUGGGGGACAACAGUUGGAAACGACUGCUAAUACCGCAUAAUAUAUCUGGACCGCAUGAUCUGGAUAUCAAAGCUUUAUGUGCUGAAAGAUGGCCUCGCGUCUGAUUAGCUAGUUGGAGGGGUAACGGCCCACCAAGGCGACGAUCAGUAGCCGGUCUGAGAGGAUGAACGGCCACAUUGGGACUGAGACACGGCCCAAACUCCUACGGGAGGCAGCAGUGGGGAAUAUUGCACAAUGGGGGAAACCCUGAUGCAGCGACGCCGCGUGAGUGAAGAAGUAUUUCGGUAUGUAAAGCUCUAUCAGCAGGGAAGAAAAUGACGGUACCUGACUAAGAAGCCCCGGCUAACUACGUG